UCGCCUGUUUAUCAAAAACAUAGCUAUUAGAUAUAAUUAUAGUGUCUUCUGCUCAAUGAAUAUUAAAUAGCCGCAGUACCCUGACUGUGCAAAGGUAGCAUAAUCAGUUGGCUUAUAAUUGAAGUCUUGUAUGAAUGAAUAAAUGAGGAGGAACUGUCCUCUAUUAAAUGAAAUUACUAAGAAGUGCAAAUUCUUGUAAUAAAAUAAUAGACGAGAAGACCCUAGAUAGUAAUUUUUUGUUGGGGCAACGUAACAAAAAUUACAUUGACAAGAAAUUUUUAAAAAUUACUCUAGGGAUAACAGCGUAAUGCUUGAGCGAUUGCGACCUCGAUGUUGGACUAGGAAGCAAAUGC
rnacentral:rRNA from 1 species